UACGGAGGAUGCAAGCGUUAUCCGGAAUGAUUGGGCGUAAAGCGUCCGCAGGUGGCAAUGUAAGUCUGCUGUCAAAGCGUCUGGCUCAACCAGAUAAAGGCAGUGGAAACUACAUAGCUAGAGUAAGGUAGGGGUAGAGGGAAUUCCUGGUGUAGCGGUGAAAUGCGUAGAGAUCAGGAAGAACACCGGUGGCGAAGGCGGCAUCCUGGACCGGUAUUGACGCUGAGGAGCGAAAGCCAGGGGAGCAAACGGG
rnacentral:rRNA from 1 species